UUGGCUGUGGUCUAAUGGAUAAAGACGUCAGAUUGUGGCUCUGGAUAUGGGAGUUCGAUCCUCCUCGGUCAAC
rnacentral:tRNA from 1 species